AGAGUUUGAUCAUGGCUCAGGAUUAACGUUGGUAGUAUGCCUAACACAUGCAAGUCGAGCGGAAAGUAGUAGCAAUAUUGCUUUUAGCGGCGAACGGGUGAGUAAUGCUUAUCUAACUUGCCAAUUAGUGGGGGAUAACCCUGGGAAAUCAGGGCUAAUACCGCAUUUGUUGCUUCGGCAAUGAAAGGGAAUCGCAAGAUUCUCGCUAAUUGAGAGGGAUAAGUCGUAUUAGUUAGUUGGUGGGGUAAUGGCCUACCAAGACAAUGAUGCGUAGCCAGGCUGAGAGGCUGAUUGGCCACAAGGGAACUGAGACACGGCCCAGACUCCUACGGGAGGCAGCAGCAAGGAAUUUUCGUCAAUGGGCGCAAGCCUGAACGAGCAACGCCGCGUGGAGGAUGACGGCCUUCGGGUUGUAAACUCCUUUUUCGGGGGACGAUAAUGACGGUACCCCGGGAAUAAGGCUCGGCUAACUCUGUGCCAGCCGCCGCGGUAAUAC
rnacentral:rRNA from 1 species